rnacentral:rRNA from 1 species
UACAGAGGUCUCAAGCGUUGUUCGGAUUCAUUGGGCGUAAAGGGUGCGUAGGCGGCGCGGUAAGUCGGGUGUGAAAUCUCGGAGCUUAACUCCGAAACUGCAUUCGAUACUGCCGUGCUUGAGGACUGGAGAGGAGACUGGAAUUCUUGGUGUAGCAGUGAAAUGCGUAGAUAUCAGGAGGAACACCAGUGGCGAAGGCGAGUCCCUGGACAACACCUGACACUGAGGCACGAAAGCUAGGGGAGCAAACAGG